GAGCUCCGCUCUUUGUGCAUUAAUGGUAUCCAAAGCCGCCGGGCCUACCUCGUCCUGCCACCCCGCCCCUGCCUCUCCGCGCUUCUCCGUGACUUGUACAUGCCUGCAUUUGAACAAAAUCAGAUUGUGUAGUUCAGCCUGCCAGCUAGCCUCAAACCCGCGGUGAUGCACCUGCGUCAGUCUUCCAAAUGCCGAAAUCACCAGCAUACGCCACCACGCCCAUCUACCCAAAUCAUCUUAUUUUUAACAGCAAGCAGCUCCUGCACCAUAUGCUGUGCUCUUUCUCAUUUUGCUAUGGAAACCGUUUUGAACCUGCUCGUCGAAAAAUCUUUGUGCCAGUCUUCUCUUUCAUUUCCUCUAAAUUGUGGAGAAAAACGUAGACAGGACUAAAGAACAAACCAUGAAAAUACAGUCCUUAGUAUGAAGUAAACUUACAGAAGAAAGCAUUGUUUCUAAGCCAUAUUUUCAAAUUUAAAGUACUCCUCACAAAAUAUCAGCCACUGCCAGGAAUGGAAUUGCCAAAUUAACCUGAUCCUCGCAAAUCUGUACUUACAGCCUAGAUCUGAGUCCUAAGUUAGAAGCCAGUUUAGCUACCCAGUUGCACCCAUCUCAGAUCCUGCUGUUCCUCUAAGAGUAUCUGAACUCCAUCACACUCCCAAUACGAAUCAUUACUGUAAAAAUACACAGCAGGGUCAGGGAUCUAGCUCAGUGGCACUACGCUUGCCUUGCAAGGGCAAGGUCCCAAGUUCAUGGUACCAAAAAAAAAAAAAAAAAAAGAUGCAGAGUAUUUUAUCAGCUCCUGUGAGGAGAUUAUGCACAGAUGAAACACAAUAGUAUUUGGGUCUCUGGGCAGAACACUUGAGUAUAGCUAUAAUUUGAAGAUGAUGCUUACAUUAUUUAAAAAUUCACUAGAAAUAAUUUUUAGAUAAAAAUAAAUAUUAAGGUAUUACAUAAUCAUCUGAAAUUUGCUAUCCUGAAUGUUCCAACAGAAUAAAUAUAGAUAGGUCUAAAAAUCAUUUGGGGGAAGAAACAUAAAAAGAACUGAACUAUGUUGCAGACAUGUACUAACUCCCCAUCAUAAAUGUACUCAUUAUGCACUGGCAACAUAAUAAAAUUUUACAGCAAAUAUAAUUCCAACACUCAGGAAACAGAGGCAGGAGGAUCACCACAAGUUCAAGGCCAGCCUGAACUACAUAGUGACAUAUUGUCUCAAAAAAUACAUACAUUUUAAGCCAGGCAUGGUUUCACAUACCUGUAAUCCUAGCCCUUGGAGGCUCAGGCAAGAGACUCACCAGCAGUUUGAGAACAGCCAGUGAGUUCAAACAGUCUAAAUUACAUAGCAAGACCCUGUCUCAUGAAAAACAAAAGAAAAUAAUUUGUAAAUGAAAUUUUGCAUGGCUGUAGUCUGAGGUUUAUAUUUUUUUCGAGGGGGUGGGGGAGAUUGUUUGUUUGGAAUAAAACCCAGGGAUGUCAUCCCUUUUUCCGACACAGGGUCUUGCUAAAUCCCCCAAGUGAGACUAAAACUUGCUCAGGUCCUUGUGCACAUAUCCUCAUGCCUCAGCCUCCCUAGUGCUGUGAUUACAGGCAUGAACUGGUGCACCAGCUUUUCUUUUUCUUUUCUUCUCCAAGCAGGGUCUGGCCAUGUUGCCCAGGCUGAUCUCCCACUCUUGCAUUCAAGCAGUCUUCCUCCCUCAACCUCCCGAACAUCUGAGACUACACAGAUGUUGUUUUGAUUGAAGUCCAUGAAGAAAACCCACAUCACACCAGUCUGCAGUUGGAAGAGAGAAGCGGCUGGGUGUAAUGGUGCACAGUUGGAACUCAGGAGGAAUACACAGUUGGAAUAGUCAGGAGGCCGAAGUGAAGGAUAGCAUGUUUGAGGCUCCUCAGCAAGUUCAAAGCCAGCUUCAAAAACAGAGCAUCUUGGGGCUGGGAUUUAGCUCAGUGGCAUAAGCCCCUGCUAGGCGAGUAUGAGGUUGUGAGUUCAAUCCUUGGUACCAAGAAAAAAAGUAUUUUAAAGCGUUUUCUUAAAGGCCAUUUGUCGGGCCUGGGGGUUUAGUUCAGCAGGCAUAAGUGCCUGCCUUGAAAGCAGGCAGUCGUGAGAUCGAUCCCCGGUACCGAUAAAAAGGAAAAAGACACACACACACACACACACACACACACACACACACGCCACUUGUGUAUCUUCUUUGCCUGUAGUUUUUACUGAAUUUAUUCUCUUAUUGAAUUGUAAGAGUCCUUUGCAUAUUUUGUGCUUUUUCUUUCUUUGCAUAUUUUGGAAAGCAGUUUUCUGUCAGAUGUAUGUAAUGCAAAUAUUUUUUUGUCAGUUGCGGGAUGCUCUUUCAUUUUAUUAACAUUGUCUUUUGAAGAGGAAAGGUCUUCUAAUUAUAAUGAAAAUUUUAAAC